GAAAUGUGAGACGAUUGCAAAUGAGAAUUAUAUAAUAUACAUGUAUAUUAAUAAUAGGUCACCUAAUACAUAUAAUAAUGUUUAACAACGAGCAAAUCAAUACUUCUAGUCAACUAUAAGAGACCCCUAAAUAUCAAGAAAUGAGAAUAAAAAAAACUGUUUUAUUCCUGACACAAAGCAUUUACUUAUGUAUGAGAUAGUGGAGUAAACUUGGUUUUGCAGCUACUAAAACGAACUAAAAAAACCACACAGA
rnacentral:lncRNA from 1 species